UGCUUCUCUUACAGCUGCAGGUGCAGGAGAGCAUCUCUGCACUGAGCUCAGAGGGGUCUAGAGCCUAAGGAAGCCAGAACGAGUGACAACUGUUUGAGGCACUGGCUGAAAGUGCCAGCAGAUUAGCCACAGUAAGGGCUAACCAACACCACUCUGCGUGACAGAAGGCACACAGACAGUUCUGCAACUCUUCAAACCUGACUUGCUGCAUGAGAAGGGGACUGCCUCGGGAAUUCCUGGGGAACCAGCCUUCUUUCUAGGGCAGGAAGGCUGCCAGCGGUGAGGAGGAGAGAAGCCAGCCCAUCUAGCUGUUUCUACAUCUGGCCUAAGGAAGGGAGUGCCAGCCCUGAGGGGUAUGCUCCCACACAGACCCAUUGUCACAGCUUCCUUUAUCCCAACACCGGAUAUGCCCUUUGCCUCAGCAAACCUCACAGCAGGAGAAGGACAGCAUUCCAUGACCUACAGAUCAUCUUCAAACUCAAAAUCAAGCCCAAGAGAUCUGAAGAUUUUAAAUAACAUUCAAGUCGGAUACAAACUGGGAAGACCCUGGAAUUCACUCUGCUUCCUAUCACAUUAGCUGAAGGGCACCACCCGCGCAGUCAAAUGUGAGCUCUGAAGCCUGCCUGCAACCCUGAACAAGGGGGGUGAUCACCUCCUAUUCCAGAGGGAUUAGUCAAGCAGCUGGACGGAGCUUGGGAUUCAGAGGGCAACCAGGACAAGCUAGCAAUGGCUGCGUCACUUUUACUCAGCAUUUACAGAUGACUAGUUGAAGAGGAGAGUGUGUGUGAGAACAACAAGAUGGAGAGGCACGGGAGCUACUGCGCAGUUUGUCUUUAUCUUGCUUUUCUGAGAACACCCAUCACUCUCACUGAACUGUCUGUGCUGUAUCAGUGCUGGUGUAUAUAUAGUUAAUGUAUAUGUAAGUAUGAUAGGAUGUUGACUUUUUUUUUUUUUUUACUGCUGGGGAGGGGGGUAUGCUGAAAUAGGCUAAGCAUUCAAUCUCUUUAUAUCGACAGAAUUACAUGGUCCGGGUUGUGUUAGAUCAUUUUGCCCAUUGUAGAGUUAGUAGAACUCUUUAGCUUGUAACAUGCUGUUUAUCUGGAUGAGGGUGGAAUUCCAGGCCUUACACUCCACAAACAUCGACACCGGUCUCGAACCUCUGAGCACAACUUCUGGUAGAAAUCCCCCCAGCCUAAUAUAGGAGAGUGCCAUGUCAGAAAGCACAGGCGAGGCUGGGUGGUGGUACACAUAUGAAUAAAGGCUCAUAUCCAAGCCCUGACCUCUGCCUGAAGAGGAGAAGCUUCACAAGCGAUAAAGGAGUGCUGCAGAUAUCUCCUUCUACUCUCUCCCGAGCUCCUCAUUUCCUCUAAGUUUUUAUCUCUGCCACACCUGAUUAAGCACAGGUUACCACCAUGUGCAAGGGCCCAGCUUCAAGCCCCAGCGCUCCAGCUGCAGGGGGAUUCUUCACAAGUGGUAAAGCAGGUCUGCAAGUGUCUCUUUCCCCCUCUCUAUCUCCUCUGCACUCUCAAGUUCUCUCUGUCCUAUUAAGUACAAUAGAAAGAAAAAAGAAGAGAGCACAGGAGAGGGGAUCUACGUAGAGGAGAUGGUUGGCCUUCUUGGGUAGGUCACAUCAGAGCAAACCAUUUUCAACAUAAACCUGAUUGCCACCAUGAACUGCUGUAUAAGUUUCCAACAUGAUACAGAAAUAUGGUAGAAACCAGGUAUGUCUGCACCCUCCCCAACCAAAACGAAAAUCAAAUGUGUUUCCAUCACUCUCCAGGCAUUCCACAGAAAUGGCUUUGCUAGUAUUUCUUGCACGUUCUUACCUUAGCAUAAGGUGCUAUGUAAAUGCAAACUGCUGUUUGCACUCAGCAAACAUAUGUUCGCAGGAAAGUGCACGUUCUGGUUCCUGCAGGAAGGGUGCAGAAGGGUGAGAGGAAAUUGUAUACUUGGAUCAACAGAGAUUUUGCUAGUUCAUCUUGGGAACCUGCCCUGUUUUCUGGUUCAAAACUAAGCUCAGAUCUAAGAAAUAAUUUCUUCAGAUAUCUUCAGAGGAGAUGUUGCAAACAUCAUGAAUUAGUUUAACUGUUGAAUCUUUUACCAAGUGACUUGUGUUUCUUUGAAAGACAACUACUGGAUGUUUUAUUUUUUCUCAGAUAUGGAAUAUAAAGAAUUGAAACACA